GACAUCAAUAAUCUGCUCCCUAACAUUAUAAACCUGCAUCAGGACAUCAAUAAUCUGCUCCCUAACAUUAUAAACCUGCAUCAGGACAUCAAUAAUCUGCUCCCUAACAUUAUAAACCUGCAUCAGGACAUCAAUAAUCUGCUCCCUAACAUUAUAAACCUGCAUCAGGACAUCAAUAACCUGCAUCAGGACAUCAAUAAUCUGCUCCCUAACAUUAUAAACCAUUAACUGUCCUGAAUGCCUCUGCUGAUCCUACAGUUAUUGUAUGCAGUAAUCAGUUAACCUAUGAACCAGAGUUACACUGUUAGCACUGAGGAGGUGUGUCCUAGUAGGAAGACUACUGAGGUGGUGUGUCCUAGUAGGAAGACCACUGUUAACACUGAGGAGGUGUGUCCUAGUAGGAAGACCACUGUUAACACUGAGGUGGUGUGUCCUAGUAGGAAGACUACUGUUAACUCUGAGGAGGUGUGUCCUAGUAGGAAGACCACUGUUAACACUGAGGAGGUGUGUCCUAGUAGGAAGACCACUGUUAACACUGAGGAGGUGUGUCCUAGUAGGAAGACCACUGUUAACACUGAGGAGGUGUGUCCUAGUAGGAAGACCACUGUUAACACUGAGGAGGUGUGUCCUAGUAGGAAGACCACUGUUAACACUGAGGUGGUGUGUCCUAGUAGGAAGACCACUGUUAACACUGAGGAGGUGUGUCCUAUGGGAAGACCACUGUUAACACUGAGGCUGUGUGUCCUAGUAGGAAGACCACUGUUAACACUGAGGAGGUGUGUCCUAGUAGGAAGACCACUGUUAACACUGAGGAGGUGUGUCCUAGUAGGAAGACCACUGUUAACACUGAGGCUGUGUGUCCUAGUAGGAAGACCACUGUUAACACUGAGGAGGUGUGUCCUAGUAGGAAGACCACUGUUAACACUGAGGAGGUGUGUCCUAAUAGGAAGACCACUGUUAACUCUGAGGAGGUGUGUCCUAGUAGGAAGAACACUGUUAACACUGAGGAGGUGUGUCCUAGUAGGAAGACCACUGUUAACACUGAGGAGGUGUGUCCUAGUAGGAAGACCACUGUGUUCAGGUCACCCUGCACUAACAUAAAUAACAUGAGCACAUCUACUGCUGCUAAGUUCUCUCUCCCGUUUUCUCUCUCCCGUUUUCUCUCUCCCGUUUUCUCUCUCCCGUUUUCUCUCUCCCGUUUUCUCUCUCCCGUUCUCUCUCUCCCGUUCUCUCUCUCCCGUUCUCUCUCUCCCGUUCUCUCUCUCCCGUUCUCUCUCUCCCGUUCCUCUCUCUCCCGUUCUCUCUCUCCCGUUCUCUCUCUCCCGUUCUCUCUCUCCCGUUCUCUCUCUCUCUCCCGUUCUCUCUCUCUCUCCCGUUCUCUCUCUCUCUCCCGUUCUCUCUCUCUCU